UACCUGGUUGAUCCUGCCAGUAGUCAUAUGCUUGUCUCAAAGAUUAAGCCAUGCAAGUCUAAGUACGAGCUCUCGUACAGUGAAACUGCGAAUGGCUCAUUAAAUCAGUUAUGGUUCAUUUGAUCGUACAGUUUACUUGGAUAACUGUGGUAAUUCUAGAGCUAAUACAUGCGAGAAGCGCCGACCUCGCGGGAGGCGUGCAUUUAUCAGACCAAAAACCGGCCGCGUCUUCGGGCGCGUUCGCCUUGGUGACUCUGGAUAACUUUGCGGAUCGCACGGUCUAGCACCGGCGACGGAUCAUUCAAGUGUCUGCCCUAUCAACUUUCGUCGGUACGGUAUUUGCCUACCGAGGUUCUUACGGGUGACGGGGAAUCAGGGUUCGAUUGUGGAGAGGGUCUAGAGUCGA
rnacentral:ncRNA from 1 species